rnacentral:rRNA from 1 species
AGUGAACGCUGGCGGUAGGCCUAACACAUGCAAGUCGAACGGCAGCACAGUAAGAGCUUGCUCUUACGGGUUGCGAGUGGCGGACGGGUGAGGAAUACAUCGGAAUCUACUUUUUCGUGGGGGAUAACGUAGGUAAACUUACGCUAAUACCGCAUACGACCUACGGGUGAAAGCAGGGGAUCUUCGGACCUUGCGCGAUUGAAUGAGCCGAUGUCGGAUUAGCUAGUUGGCGGGGUAAAGGCCCACCAAGGCGACGAUCCGUAGCUGGUCUGAGAGGAUGAUCAGCCACACUGGAACUGAGACACGGUCCAGACUCCUACGGGAGGCAGCAGUGGGGAAUAUUGGACAAUGGGCGCAAGUCUGAUCCAGCCAUACCGCGUGGGUGAAGAAGGCCUUCGGGUUGUAAAGCCCUUUUGUUGGGAAAGAAAAGCAGCAGGUUAAUACCCCGCUGUUCUGACGGUACCCAAAGAAUAAGCACCGGCUAACUUCGUG